rnacentral:rRNA from 1 species
GACGAACGCUGGCGGCGUGCUUAACACAUGCAAGUCGAACGGAAAGGCCCUGCUUUUGUGGGGUGCUCGAGUGGCGAACGGGUGAGUAACACGUGCGUAACCUGCCCUUGACUUUGGGAUAACUUAAGGAAACUGGGGCUAAUACCGGAUAGGAGCUCCUGAUGCAGGGUGGGGGUGGGAAAGUUUCGGCGGUUGGGGAUGGACCCGCGGCUUAUCAGCUUGGUGGUGGGGUAGUGGCUUACCAAGGCUUUGACGGGUAGCCGGCCUUUGAGGGUGACCGGCCACAUUGGGACUGAGAUACGGCCCAGUCUCCUACUUUAGGCAGCAGUGGGGAAUAUUGCACAGUGGGCGGAAGCCUGAUGCAGCAACGCCGCGUUCGGGAUGUCGGCCUUCGGGUUGUAAACCGCUUUCGCCUGUGACGAAGCGUUAGUGACGGUACUGGGUAAAGAAGCACCGGCUAACUACGUG